AUACUUACCUGACGGGGAAGACAACGUGAUCAAGAAGGCGUUUCUUCCAGGGUGAGGCCCUUCCAUUGCAGUUCGGUUGGGCUGACCCCUGCGAUUACCCCAAACGUGGGUAACUCGACCGUACAAUUUCUGGUAGUGGGGACCUGCGUUCGCGCUAGUCCCCU